AAGACUAUAGACCUGCGGAGUACCUGCGGAAGGAUCAUUAAUGUUACCUCAUCCAACUUGCUUCUGGUAUUCAAUUUUAUUGGGUACCAGCAAGCAAAGCACCCGUGAAAAGGUUAAAGUCCUUAACAGCAUCCAGCCUCGCUGGACCUGCUGUUUUAAAAAAGCACCUCUUAAAUGAAUCACGUCUAAUGAAUGAGCGCUUUUUUCUAACGAAAUAAGCGCGAUUUUAUACCGUAAUUU
rnacentral:misc_RNA from 1 species